GGAGAAGGGAUUGUAGCAUGCCCAUCUGCCCAGGAGGAGGGACCUGCAGAGGAAUUCCUGGGUCUAUGGGUAAGGCGAGCUUCAGACUCUGAGUCUCGGAUUCCGAGGUGUCUACGGUGCUGAGGCCUGAAUGCACCCCUGGGGCACUCUCAUUUGUCCCCAGCACUCCUUUUGCCAUUCCCCACAGCAGCUUGCCCUAUGUGCUCUCAUGCACUAUGUCCCUGGUCCCCACGUGUUCCUUCUGGAUGGAUGUUUUUGCUUCUUUCUUCAGAGAUUAAAGCUACCAGAGAGUGCAUGUGCCCUAUGGCAAAAACAUUCAAAAAAAGAGAAGAAGGAAACCUGCAGACAGACAUUACAUGUGUGAAGACCAUGAUGGCUCCUUUGGGAGCGCUGCUAUAACCAGACUUUCACCCAGUGGCUGGGAAUGCAUAUGAUCAACAGCCAGGCUUCAAACAGACAAAUCUGGGGUCUUUUCCUCCAACAGACUCAAAUGUUAUGACUGGACUUGAAACACACCGGUGUACUUCCACGACAGCGUAUGGCUCCACGAGCUGCUGGCUAGAGACAGGGUAAAACAUGAAAUGCCAAUCAGAUUUAUCUUCCCUGGUCUAUCCAGAGAAGCUACCUGAUGACCAGCCUAUUUUGGAAGACGUUAACGGCUGUAAAUCCAAGACUACAGCUUUACUCUGCGGCUGGGCUGGUGGGUGAUCUGUCCCGUCCCCAUUUUUGCAGACAGUUGCACUGUACGUAACAGCUGUGUGAAAAGAACCUGUCAUCUCCCAUCCCAAUCCAGCCCUGCGUUUUAAUUAUCUAACGAGUUCUUGUCAUGUUUUGGUUGAUUUCCUUCCUCACAUGAUCUCAAAAUCUACAAAUACAUAUCUUAAGAUAAUAACCUUCAAAAAAGAAAAGUAAUAGGACGGAGAAAACUCUGAGAAGUGAGACCAACUGGUUUUAUUUUUUAUUCUCGGACUCACUACAAAAAUUUACAUGCAGAACAAUGAGCCCUACCUCGCCAUUCCUUCCCAAAAUGAGGCUUAUUAAAGAGUAGAACUAACAACUCCAGGCUCCUUGAAGGAAUAAAACCACCAAGUCCUUAAACGUUGGAGUGCAAGGCAGCAUGGGAAGGCUCAAACAGAAACCAGUGUGUGGCCUGCAGUAGAACAGGACAGAGACAUACUGUGAUUUUCUUUUCUUUUCUUUUCUUUUCUUUUUUUUUUUCACUUAAGGUUACUGGAGAAACACUGGGGUUCUGAGAAA